rnacentral:tRNA from 1 species
GCCAACCUAGCUCAGCUGGUAGAGUAGCGGUUUCGUAAAUCGUUGGUCGUGGGUUCGAAUCCCAUGGUUGGCU